AUCCAAUACUGCCUCAUACAGUUUUCAUACGUACCGUCUUGAUCCGCUAUAUUCAAAAGCGCCUAUUAAUUUAACUUAUUCAUUUUAAAUCUUACAAUAUCUUGUCGUGAAUAAUUAAAAUAAUUUCUACUCAAACCUAAGAUUGUAUUUAAAUUAUUUCAAGAAAACUAAUAUUUUAAAUUUACUCUUUUUAAACUCUAUCAUUGUUCAAGUCAAGCAACAUCGACCAGGCAUUAUGAUUCGAAAUUUUCUUGGUAACGUGACACAGCACACUAGGACUGAACACUAACAGCUCAACAGCUGUAUAAUACUGAAAUGUGUUUCGUUUAUGGCGCUAUAAACAAAUAGAUGUGCUCGAGCUCGGCCAAUAGUACGAUCAACAUACGACUGUAUUGCCUAAUGUUUUUAUUAAAAUUUAAAACUGAACAACAAAUAUAAUUUAAUAUGAAUUUAUAAUAUAAAAAAAUUUAAGUAUAUGUAAUUAAUCAAGAAGAUUAAAAGUAUGGAUGAGAAAAAAUCUCUUUCUAUGAGACUUAACUAUAGUAGAUGACUUACCUAAUUCAUCAGUUACAAAUCACAGCAAAU